rnacentral:rRNA from 1 species
CCUACGGGGGGCAGCAGUGGGGAAUAUUGGACAAUGGGGGCAACCCUGAUCCAGCCAUGCCGCGUGUGUGAAGAAGGCCCUCGGGUUGUAAAGCACUUUCAGUGAGGAAGAACGCCUGGUGGUUAAUACCCAUCAGGAAAGACAUCACUCACAGAAGAAGCACCGGCUAACUCCGUGCCAGCGGCCGCGGUAAUACGGAGGGUGCGAGCGUUAAUCGGAAUUACUGGGCGUAAAGCGCGCGUAGGUGGCUUGAUAAGCCGGUUGUGAAAGCCCCGGGCUCAACCUGGGAACGGCAUCCGGAACUGUCAAGCUAGAGUGCAGGAGAGGAAGGUAGAAUUCCCGGUGUAGCGGUGAAAUGCGUAGAGAUCGGGAGGAAUACCAGUGGCGAAGGCGGCCUUCUGGACUGACACUGACACUGAGGUGCGAAAGCGUGGGUAGCAAACAGGAUUAGAUACCCUUGUAGUC